rnacentral:rRNA from 1 species
GUGCAGCAGGCGAGAAUAGUCUACAAUGUGCGAAAGCACGAUAAGGGAACUCUGAGUGCCUCCUAAGGAGGCUGUUCUGAUGUCUAAAACGCAACAGAAGUAAGGGCUGGGUAAGACCGGUGCCAGCCGCCGCGGUAACACCGGCAGCCCAAGUGGUAGCCACGUUUAUUGGGUCUAAAGCGUUCGUAGCCGGCCAGGUAAGUUCCUUGGUAAAUUUAGCCGCUUAACGGUUAAGCUUUCAGGGAAUACUGCUUGGCUUGGGACUGGGAGAGGUCAGAGGUACUCCGGGGGUAGGGGUGAAAUCUAUUAAUCCCUGGGGGACCACCGGUAGCGAAGGCGUCUGACCAGACCAGGUCCGACGGUGAGGGACGAAGGCUAGGGGCGCGAACCGGAUUAGAUACCCCUGUAGU